UCCUCAGCCUCCUGAGAGCUGGAAUUACAGGCAUCUCAGGUCUGCUUCUGCAACUUGGCUCUUCUCCAGGAAGAGCACCCAGGAAAGCAGCAAUACAGCCCCUGCACUCCUGACAAGGCAUGAAAUGAAGAAACACAGGCUCAGUGAAAUUUAAUGACUGUCCAGAAGAGAUGUUGAGAGGUAAACCUGGUAACAAAACAAUGUCAGUAUGAUUUCAAAGUCCCUGUGUGAGAGACAGGAUCCAGUGGCUUCCAAGAUUUCCUGCCCCACUGUCUCCAUGUACAAGUCCUACAGUUGACACAAAGAAAGAGAGCAUUUGGGAGUAAGCCUGACCUAAUCACAUGACACCUCCCAAAGGCCCCCAGGUGGGAGCAGGUGGAGGGAACGAUGCCCUUCAGGGUUCCAGGCCCUGUGCAGAGCACAAAGACCUGGAGGAAAGAGGCGCAGCACCUGCCCUCUCCAAGCGGGGACAGUGUGCAGAGACACAAGCAGUGUUUACAGGGUGACCCCUGAAGCCCAACCAGAGGGAGCAUCAUUGGGAAACUUCAACCUUGGAAUGGGAAUUGCAGCUCAGUGGUUUGCCAGGCAGUGCAAGCAGGCGCUGGAGCAGUGCAGACAGAACACAGCUCAUGGGAAGGCAGGGGCUGUGAGGCCAGCAGCGCAGAUCUCCCUUGCUGAGACUUCACUACACUGGACGGUCUGUGAAUACAUCACCACUUCAGAACGGUGACUGUCAAGGCCGAGCCUCCCCUGAGGGUGUGGGGGAGUGGCUCCUUUAGUCCAUACAGUCUUUUGUGCCAUGAGUGAGUUAAUUUCCCAAUAAAGAAUAGGAUGCCGAGAUGAAAUCUGUGAAAGCAGCAGCAUCAAGCGCGCCAGAGCUCCAGAGCUCAAGAACUGCUUGCCUUUACUUCUUUUAUCUUCAUGUACUCAUUCUCAGAUAUAACAAGAUGUCAUCAUGAAACACCAGCUGCGUAUCCUUGUAUGACCUUAUUGCACAUGCAUGGUUGAGUAUGUUAAGUCACUCAUAUAAUGGUGGCCCAUUAUGUGCAGGUCCCUGACAGUGGGGUUGUGACCUUAAGUGUCCUCAGGUGCACCUACGUUUCCCAGGCUUUGAGUAUCUCUCCCUCUCCCUCCCUCCCUCUCUCUCUCUGUCCUCCUCCUUUUUCUUCUUCCUCUUCCU